rfam:Arabis alpina cultivar Pajares scaff_45926_1_contig_1, whole genome shotgun sequence.
ACUCCAUGGUGAGGACAAGACCUAGUAUAACCCUUCAAUCUUUCCCAAUCUUCAUUAAGAGCUUCGUUGGAGCCUUGUUUGAAGAUCGUGAUAUCAUUCCUAAUCCU